CAGCACGUCAGAGGGGCGAUCUGCUUCUCUCUAAAGAGCACGGAUUUAUCCAUGCCGUGUGACAUGAAUGAAAUGAGAAGUUUUCAGGGCCGCCAAGCUCUCCAUUAAGGUUUUAUGGUAGUAUAUUUCUAAUACAAUU
ensembl:snoRNA